rnacentral:rRNA from 1 species
UACGAAGGGGGCGAGCGUUUGUUCGGAAUUACUGGGCGUAAAGGGCGCGCAGGCGGCUCAGACAGUCAGAUGUGAAAGCCCCGGGCUUAACCUGGGAACUGCAUUUGAUACUACUGAGCUUGAGUACGGGAGAGGAUAGUGGAAUUCCCAGUGUAGAGGUGAAAUUCGUAGAUAUUGGGAAGAACACCGGUGGCGAAGGCGGCUAUCUGGACCGUAACUGACGCUGAGGAGCGGAAAAGCGUGGGGAGCGAACAGG